rnacentral:SRP_RNA from 2 species
GCUGGGUGUGGUGGCGGGCACCUGUAAUCCCAGCUACUUGGGAGGCUGAGGCAGGAGAAUCGCUUGAACCCAGGAGGUGGAGGUUGCAGUGAGCCGAGAUUGCGUCACUGCACUCUAGCCUGGGCGACAGAGUGAGACUCCGUCUCAA